rnacentral:rRNA from 1 species
CCUACGGGAGGCAGCAGUAGGGAAUCUUGCGCAAUGGGCGAAAGCCUGACGCAGCGACGCCGCGUGCGGGAUGAAGGCCUUCGGGUCGUAAACCGCUUUCAGCAGGGACGCGGUACCUGCAGAAGAAGGCCCGGCCAACUACGUGCCAGCAGCCGCGGUGAUACGUAGGGGUCUAGCGUUGUCCGGAAUCAUUGGGCGUAAAGAGCUCGUAGGCGGUUCGGCAAGUCGGAUGUGAAAUCUCCACGCUCAACGUGGAGGGGCCAUUCGAAACUGCCGGACUCGAGUCCGGUAGGGGAGUUCGGAAUUCCCGGUGUAGCGGUGAAAUGCGCAGAUAUCGGGAGGAACACCAGUGGCGAAGGCGGAACUCUGGGCCGGACUGACGCUGAGGAGCGAAAGCGUGGGGAGCGAACAGGAUUAGAUACCCUUGUAGUC